GAUGAACGCUGGCGGCGUGCCUAAUACAUGCAAGUCGAGCGAACGGACGAGAAGCUUGCUUUUCUGAUGUUAGCGGCGGACGGGUGAGUAACACGUGGAUAACCUACCUAUAAGACUGGGAUAACUUCGGGAAACCGGAGCUAAUACCGGAUAAUAUUUUGAACCGCAUGGUUCAAAAGUGAAAGACGGUCUUGCUGUCACUUAUAGAUGGAUCCGCGCUGCAUUAGCUAGUUGGUAAGGUAACGGCUUACCAAGGCAACGAUGCAUAGCCGACCUGAGAGGGUGAUCGGCCACACUGGAACUGAGACACGGUCCAGACUCCUACGGGAGGCAGCAGUAGGGAAUCUUCCGCAAUGGGCGAAAGCCUGACGGAGCAACGCCGCGUGAGUGAUGAAGGUCUUCGGAUCGUAAAACUCUGUUAUUAGGGAAGAACAUAUGUGUAAGUAACUGUGCACAUCUUGACGGUACCUAAUCAGAAAGCCACGGCUAACUACGUGCCAGCAGCCGCGGUAAUACGUAGGUGGCAAGCGUUAUCCGGAAUUAUUGGGCGUAAAGCGCGCGUAGGCGGUUUUUUAAGUCUGAUGUGAAAGCCCACGGCUCAACCGUGGAGGGUCAUUGGAAACUGGAAAACUUGAGUGCAGAAGAGGAAAGUGGAAUUCCAUGUGUAGCGGUGAAAUGCGCAGAGAUAUGGAGGAACACCAGUGGCGAAGGCGACUUUCUGGUCUGUAACUGACGCUGAUGUGCGAAAGCGUGGGGAUCAAACAGGAUUAGAUACCCUGGUAGUCCACGCCGUAAACGAUGAGUGCUAAGUGUUAGGGGGUUUCCGCCCCUUAGUGCUGCAGCUAACGCAUUAAGCACUCCGCCUGGGGAGUACGACCGCAAGGUUGAAACUCAAAGGAAUUGACGGGGACCCGCACAAGCGGUGGAGCAUGUGGUUUAAUUCGAAGCAACGCGAAGAACCUUACCAAAUCUUGACAUCCUUUGACAACUCUAGAGAUAGAGCCUUCCCCCUCGGGGGACAAAGUGACAGGUGGUGCAUGGUUGUCGUCAGCUCGUGUCGUGAGAUGUUGGGUUAAGUCCCGCAACGAGCGCAACCCUUAAGCUUAGUUGCCAUCAUUAAGUUGGGCACUCUAAGUUGACUGCCGGUGACAAACCGGAGGAAGGUGGGGAUGACGUCAAAUCAUCAUGCCCCUUAUGAUUUGGGCUACACACGUGCUACAAUGGACAAUACAAAGGGCAGCGAAACCGCGAGGUCAAGCAAAUCCCAUAAAGUUGUUCUCAGUUCGGAUUGUAGUCUGCAACUCGACUACAUGAAGCUGGAAUCGCUAGUAAUCGUAGAUCAGCAUGCUACGGUGAAUACGUUCCCGGGUCU
rnacentral:rRNA from 1 species